rnacentral:misc_RNA from 1 species
GAUGAAGAACGUAGUGAAAUGCGAUACGUAAUGUGAAUUGCAGAAUUCAGUGAAUCAUCGAAUCUUUGAACGCAUAUUGCGCUCUCUGGUAUUCCGGAGAGCAUGCUUGUUUGAGUAUCAGUAAACACCUCAACUUCCAUAUCUUUUUUGAAAUGGGAGUUGGACUUGAGUGAUCCCAACGCUUUUCCUCACCGAAAAGUGGCGGGUUACUUGAAAUGCAGGUGCAGCUGGACUUUUCUCUGAGCUAUAAGCAUAUCUAUUUAGUCUGCCUAAAAAACAGAUUAUUACCUUUGCUGCAGCUAACAUAAAGGAGAUUAGUUCUUGUGCUGACUGAUGCAGGAUUCACAAAGACAGCUUCGGCCGACUUUGUAAACUCGAUCUCAAAUCAAGUAAGACUACCCGCUGAACUUAAGCAUAUCAAUAAGCGGAGGA